rnacentral:rRNA from 1 species
UGAGUAACGCGUGAACAAUCUGCCCUAUACAGAGGAAUAGCCUCGGGAAACCGGGAUUAAAACCGCAUGACACUUUAGUACCGCAUGGUACAGAAGUCAAAUUGAUUAGAGGUAUAGGAUGAGUUCGCGUCUGAUUAGCUAGUUGGCGGGGUAACGGCCCACCAAGGCGACGAUCAGUAGCCGGCCUGAGAGGGUGAACGGCCACACUGGAACUGAGACACGGUCCAGACUCCUACGGGAGGCAGCAGUGGGGAAUAUUGCACAAUGGAGGAAACUCUGAUGCAGCGACGCCGCGUGAGUGAAGAAGGUCUUCGGAUCGUAAAACUCUGUCCUUGGUGACGAAAAAAAUGACGGUAGCCAAGGAGGAAGCCCCGGCUAACUACGUGCCAGCAGCCGCGGUAAUACGUAGGGGGCGAGCGUUGUCCGGAUUUACUGGGCGUAAAGGGUGAGUAGGCGGUAAUAUGUGUCAGAUGUAAAAGGCUAUGGCUUAACCAUAGUUGGCAUUUGAAACUGUAUUACUUGAGUGCAGGAGAGGUAAGUGGAAUUCCUAGUGUAGCGGUGAAAUGCGUAGAUAUUAGGAGGAACACCAGUGGCGAAGGCGACUUACUGGACUGUAACUGACGCUGAGUCACGAAAGCGUGGGUAGCAAACAGGAUUAGAUACCCUGGUAGUCCACGCUGUAAACGAUGAGUGCUAGGUGUUGGGUAGCGAUACUCAGUGCCGAAGUAAACACAAUAAGCACUCCGCCUG